ACCAGACUCCUACGGGAGGCAGCAGUGGGGAAUAUUGGGCAAUGGAGGCAACUCUUACCCAGCAAUGCCGCGUGAAUGAAGAAGGUCUUCGGAUUGUAAAGUUCUUUAAUUGGGGACGAAAAAAAUGACGGUACCCAAGGAAUAAGCCCCGGCUAACUACGUGCCAGCAGCCGCGGUAAUACGUAGGGGGCAAGCGUUAUCCGGAUUUACUGGGUGUAAAGGGAGCGUAGACGGCAGAGAAAGUCUGAAGUGAAAGCCCGCGGCUCAACCGCGGAACUGCUUUGGAAACUUUUCGGCUAGAGUACCGGAGAGGUAAGCGGAAUUCCUAGUGUAGCGGUGAAAUGCGUAGAUAUUAGGAGGAACACCAGUGGCGAAGGCGGCUUGCUGGACGGUAACUGACGUUGAGGCUCGAAAGCGUGGGGAGCAAACAGGAUUAGAUACCCCUGUACGC
rnacentral:rRNA from 1 species